UGGGGGAUAUUGGACAAUGGGGGAAACCCUGAUCCAGCGACGCCGCGUGAGUGAAGAAGUAUUUCGGUAUGUAAAGCUCUAUCAGCAGGGAAGAAAGAAAUGACGGUACCUGAGUAAGAAGCCCCGGCUAACUACGUGCCAGCAGCCGCGGUAAUACGUAGGGGGCAAGCGUUAUCCGGAAUUACUGGGUGUAAAGGGAGCGUAGACGGUAAUGCAAGUCUGGAGUGAAAGGCGGGGGCCCAACCCCCGGACUGCUCUGGAAACUGUGUAACUGGAGUGCAGGAGAGGCAGGCGGAAUUCCUAGUGUAGCGGUGAAAUGCGUAGAUAUUAGGAGGAACACCAGUGGCGAAGGCGGCCUGCUGGACUGUAACUGACGUUGAGGCUCGAAAGCGUGGGGAGCAAACAGG
rnacentral:rRNA from 1 species